CAUAGAUAUCUUAUAUACACUAGAUAGCGCAUCUCUUUUAGUAAAAUUGAAGCCAAGAAUACUCCAGCGGUUACCCCCAUUUGAAUAGAUGGCGGCCAUGUUGGAGUUUCCCAAUCGCUAAUAAACGCUUAAAAAACAACAAUAACUUUCAUCAUUUGAACAGUUUGAAAAUGUAUUUGGAAUAGGUUUAACUUAAUGUUUAAGUUCCCUGUUUAAGAAAUAGAAAACAUACGAGUCUUCUCAUUUCAUGGGAAUAUCCUGAGUCUGCAAUCACGGC